rnacentral:lncRNA from 1 species
CGUUCCCUUUAACUCUUGACACCCUGGAAUUAAUGCAAAGUGGUCUGUAUUUAAUAUCGAAUUCCCUCCCCUCACAAUGCGAUAAUGACAAGAGAUUUUUAGAAGGCGUGGAAAUUAAGAAAUUUUAGAAAAUUAAGAUUCUCCUCUGAACCUAAUGUAAAGAAAAUUGAUGAGUCUGUGCAUUUGAUGGGAUUCCUAGGUCAGCACCAUGUCGUGAAGACAUUUUCUGAGAUAGUGAGUUUGCUCAAAAUGUCACUCCAACUUUUAAAGCAUGGAGAAAAUUGCUUGUCAGUGAAUGUACCACUCAGAGCAAAAUAGAAUUUUUAUUGCUAGAUUUCCUUUCAAAGUUAAAAAUAAGGAUAAACAGAGCCAAACGGCUGUUUGGGGGAAUGUAGUGAUCUGGGGAAGAGAAUGAUGGCAUAUCGUUGGAGCUUCCAGCUUUGCUAGUGGAACUCAUUGGAAUGUCCAUGAAAAUCACCACAGAGUUCAGACAUAGUUCUUAACUGGCAAAACUGUCCUAAAAUGACUGGACUCUGAUGCAGCUGCCUUGGGAGAAGUGGGAGAAAUAACAGUCCCACUUCAGCGAUCUGCAAACUAAGGUCUGGGCUUGAUGUUCACCGAUUUUCCCUCAGCUCCGACUGUGGCUCCUCUCAGCUGACUCUGACCCUGCUCUCAGCCGGGCUGCAUCUGCCCAUCUCAGCACAUCAAUAAACAGCAGAGGGAAACUACCACCUUGGAAGGAGCCAGGCAGUUUCUGCUGGGUAGGCCGCAGCCUGGAACAUGGAAGUAGCUUCUUCCAUCCUACACUGGAAACCACCCAGCAUCCCGGGCCCUCCAGAGAAGAGCCAGACUCCCUUCCCUGGGAAGAGACUAUAGUCCUAUCUGUAUCCUCCGUGGUCAUUGCCCCUCAGUCACAGCAAUGAAGAGCAAAUUACCUGUUUUCUGUAUGUUCCUCUGACAACAACUGCCACAGAGUAAAUAUGAAAGGUUCU